GCGGCCACCAGAGCCACACGGGAGCCCCAGCACAGGACCCCCUCAGACCCCGUGCGCCGGCCGCUCCCGCCCCAGCCCGGCCCGGAUAGAACACAACACGACAUUUUCUUUGAGAUUUUAAUCACUUUUACGCUGAAUAUCCGAUACUCUGGAACGUAUGUUGGCCUGGCAGGUGACGUCGGGGUCCUGGAAGAUGCCUCCCGAGCCCUGGACCAGGUGUUCAGCAGCGUCCCUGAGCCACCUGCCCCGCAUCCAGGGCUCAGAACACCGCCCGCCACCGAGGACUGAGGCUGGGCCCCGCGGUCGCUGCCCACCGGCCCGGCCGCCCCGUCCACACCCGCGCCGCCUUGCUUACUUGAGCUGGCAACGCGUUCAGCAUCGCCUGGCCUGCAGAGGUGGGGAAAUCAUCCAAGACCAAGAUCACCAGCCCGAGGCCCGGGUCCAGGACUGUUUCUCACAAGCCUGCGCUCACGCAUCCUGCCACCGGAGGCCCAGGGCCGUGGUCCCACGUCCAGCGAGGAGCAAGCCUCCAGGUCCAGCGGCCUCCCUGGCACGUCCCACCACGGCGGCGCCCAGCACGCACGGCACCUGCAGGAGCAGAGGAGUGGCCGCACUUGGCUCGCGAGGCCAGCCUGACAGACGCCAACAUCAGGUAAAAAAGCCACAAGAAGUGGACGUUUCAUGCCUCAUUUACACAGGCCCAAAACACUUCUUAAAGAGUAGCAAAUUGAACCCAGAAAUGCCUAGAACGGAUGGUACGUCGUGAGCAGUAGGGUUAUUCCAGGAAUGAAAGGUUGGUUCAACAUUAACACAACAACAAAGGGGGCUGAGGGCGGAGGCAGUGUGAGGCCAGGGGUGGGGGUCCUGUCCUGGGCGCCUCGAUCCCUGACAGUCUCAGCUCCAUGCGUCUACCCGGUUCUCGGAGCGAGCGUGGGAGAAAGGCCCCCUCUGGCCUCCCGCCCGCAGAGGGCAGACCUGCUGUGCAAUCCCGCCAGGCCCCCCAGGAGCAGCCAGUAGCCGAGCCCACCCGGCCUGGAGGCGGGACGUGGGGAGGGGCGUGCUGCCCCCCAGGCCAGAGUGGCCACGAGAGUGGCCAGGACAGCUGCACGGCGUCAGCCUCCUUUCUUGCCGGGAAAACACAAAUUACAGCUGCAGUGAGAUACCACCCGUGAGCGUGGCUGGAAAGGUGAGCAGGUGCCGCACGUCACUGGGGAUGUGGAGCCACCAGGACGCUUGCUGUCCGUGGAGUGCAGGUGGCUGCACCCUGUGGGCGCUGCUCGGCGGCAUCCCCCGUACCUUGACUUGGCCGUUCUGCUGCUGGCGUGCGCCCUCGGAAAUGCCCCAUCCGCUCUCCCAACGGCACGGGCCAGAGGUCUACACGGCGUCCUCACCUCGGAGCCCGGCACCGGAAACAACCCCACCUCCUGCCACCGAGGCAUGGAGGAGCCGCCGCCCACCCACACCGCGGGGCCGUCUGUGGUAAUGACGGAGGGCGACGGGACCCAGGCGCACCGCGGGGUCGCCGCAGAGCCCACGCGCCACAAAGGGAGCCCCGGCAGCGCUCUGGUUUCUGGGGCGUGGCGGAGCUGUGUCUACGUGACACGGUGUCUAGCAGGUGUGCGGUGGCAUUAGGUCUAAAAGCACUAUGUACGUAUUUUAAUUAAAAAAUCCUUUCUGCUAGAAAAUGUGAACCAUCGUCUGAGCCGUCAGUGAGUCAGUCACUGGCCACCGGCCACUGUGACAAAUGCGUGAGUAAUGAAGUCGUUGGAAACGCUGUGAGAGUCACCGAGUGUGACUCAGAGACACCAAGGGAACAGGUGCCGUUGGGAAAGCGGUGCCGGCAGGCGGGCUCAGCGCAGGGUCGCCGCACACCCUCCGUCUGAAAACCACAACAUCGGCACAGUCCCGGGUCGGGGGAGCCUGGCCGGGAUCUCCCUGCUGUCACCAGGUGAGGGACGUGUUAACCGCCGCGUGUCCGCGGGUGGAGUCACCACAGCGCACACCGUGAGCUCCCGCGACCAUGGCACAUCCUGACGAAGCCAGAGGAAACAGAAGAGCCAUGGAUGGCCUCUUGCGGGAAGACGUGAGCACUCAUUUAGAAGGGGACCAGGGAGGACGUCCCGGGGGCUCAGCGGCUGAGCAUCUGCCUUCGGCUCAGAGCAUGAUCCCAGGAUCCAGGAUCGAGUCCUGCAUCGGGCUCCCUGCGAGGAGCCCGCUUCUCCCUCUGCCUGUGUCUCUGACUCUCUCACAAAUAAGUAAAUCUUUUUUAAAAAGGAGAUGAGGGAAUGUUCUGGAAUGUUCUGCACGUUGUUGGGGGUUUGGGUUACACAUGUGUCAUUUGUCACCGAAGGUUUUUACAUCUCAUUUGUUCCUUUUACGUCAAAGGAAAACCAACCCCAGCAUAGGGUGCAGCUGAUCUUACAGAUGCUGAAGCAUCGAUGCCGGUGACUCCCUCCGAGAUGCGUUAAGAAGAUGGAUGGAUGGAUGGACAGUACGUGACAAAGCAGAUGUGCCGAAACAUUGAUUCAACGGGAUGAGUGUGUGUGUUUCCUGUACAAUUCUUUCAUCUCUGCUAAAUGUUUUCCUGUAAUAAGAAGCUUGGGGGAAGGAAAGCGCUCGCAGCAUCGUGGUUGGAUGUGUCAUGGGCAUGACGCUGAGUGGAAGGAGCCAGGCUCCGAGAAACACGCACUGUCUGGUUUUGUUUAUAUAAAGUUCGGAAGUGGGCCUGCUUCUCGGGGGGAGAGGCACCCUGAGGCAGGUGUCAGGGUCAGAGGAUGCCUCGGAGGAUGUUUCAUGCUGGGUGCUGAGGGCCUGGAAAAUCCAGCAAGUUGCACCUUAUGCUUCGUGCAUGUUUAUUCAUAUUUUUAUGCUUUAGUAAAAAUUUACAUUAGGAAAACGCUUAGGAAAACGGGGAUGGACCCAGAGGUCCUCACCCCAGAGAAAGCUUCCACCUGUCAGCUGCCCAUACCCCAUCUCCCUCAGGCCCUACAAAUGUUGUCUUUAAAAUAUAACAACAGGGCAGCCCGGGUGGCUCAGCGGUUUAGUGCUGCCUUCAGCCCUGGGCCUGAUCCUGGAGACCCGGGAUCGAGUCCCACGUCGGGCUCCCCGCAUGGAGCCUGCUUCUCCCUCUGCCUGUGUCUCUGCCUCUCUCUCUCUGUGUCUCUCAUGAAUAAAUAAAUAAAAUACAACCA
rnacentral:lncRNA from 12 species